AACCUGGUUGAUCUUGCCAGUAGUCAUAUGCUUGUCUCAAAGAUUAAGCCAUGCAAGUGAAAGUAUAUGCACAUUUAUUGCAGAAACUGCGAACGGCUCAUUAAAACAGUUAUAAUCUACUUGACAUUUUAUUAUAAGGAUAACUACGGAAAAGCUGUAGCUAAUACUUGUUAAGUACUUUUACUCCCCGGAGUAAUUGUAUGUAUUUGUUAAGACCCCUAAGAAAAAAUGAUAUUAAAGGAAUUAUAACAAAGAAGCAACACAUAAUAUAAUUAUUCAGUGUGUAUCAAUCGAGUUUCUGACCUAUCAGCUUUUGAUGUUAGGGUAUUGACCUAACAUGGCUUUGACGGGUAACGGGGAAUUAGAGUUCGAUUCCGGAGAGGGAGCCUGAGAAAUAGCUACCACAUCUAAGGAAGGCAGCAGG
rnacentral:rRNA from 1 species